GUGCUAUUGGUGCAGGGGUAACACACAACCUCAUCUUUGAUCUCUCUUUCCAACAAAAAUUUGGGUUGGGUCCUGGGUUCGACUCCCAGACGGCACG